GGUCAGCGAUACCCGGGUACAUGGUGGUGCCACCAGACAGCACGUUGUUGGCGUACAGGUCCUUACGGAUGUCGAUGUCACACUUCAUGAUGCUGUUGUAGGCGGUCUCAUGGAUACCAGCGGACUCCAUACCUGUCCCAGUGCACAGCAGAGACGUUCACUCGGUUCCUGUCCCUGGACACUGACAUGUAAAAGGCCACCCACUCCUCCUACAGUGGAACAAGACCCCCUUCCCAGAACGCACAAUGACCAAAACAACUUAUUUGUGUCUCUUUAUUGUUGUUUUUGUCUCUGUCUCUUUAUUAUUUGUUUUUUGUAUCAAUAAAGCUUACAUAUACUGCCAUCACAAAACCU